CAUUUGAUGAAUCGCUUGGUUCAAGCACCGAAGAAGGCCGUGCCAAGCUGCGAUAUGCCUUGGGUAGGCGCAAGGAGCCUAUGAUCCAGGGAUUGCCGAAUGGGACUUCCUACCGUCUUCGGAUGGUGAUCCGUAAGGAUUGGGAACCUGCUGAAUUGAAACAUCUUAGUAGGCAGAGGAAAAGAAAUCAAUUGAGAUGGGGUUAGUAAAGGCGAUCGAAAACCCCUUAGGGCAAACCGAAUCCUUCAGCGAAGAGCUGGAGGAGAUGUGGGGUUGUAGGUCCCGGUUACUUCCUAUCAGCCGGACUCUAAGUUGGCUGGAAUGCCAUGCCAUAGAAGGUGACAGCCCUGUGGAGGAAAAGCUGAGGAAGAUUGCCGGGUAACCUGAGUAGUGCGCGUUGGAAUUCGCGUAUGAAUCUGGGAGGCAUCAACUUCCAACCCUAAAUAUCGCUUGAAACCGAUAGUGGAAUAGUAGCGUGAGCGAAAGCUGCAAAGCACCCAUAACAGGGGGUGAAAAGAGCGUGAAAUCAGAUGGUUACAGACUCGAUGGGCAUGAAAGCGAGGAAACUUUUUGUGGAGCAGUGUCCAUCUUUCCGUUUCGAAAAACGGGCCAGGGAGUUUUUGUCAAAGGCAAGGUUAAGCAAGCAAAUUGCGGAGCCACAGCGAAAGCGAUCUCUUGCAGGUAACGAGAAGAGAGGUGAGUUCGCCUCAGUCUUUGGUGAAAAACCCGAAGCCAGUCGAUCUAUGGGUGGCCAGGUUGAAGCUCCAUGAAAGUGGGGUGGAAGACCGAACCGGUGCUGACGUGCAAUUCGCUCGGAUGAGCUGUCCAUAGGGGCGAAAGACCAAUCUAGACUGGCGAUAGCUGGUUCCUCCCGAAACUACUCGCAGGUAGACCUCUAGUUAGAGAGGUGGCGUGGUAGAGCACUGAAUAGGUGUGGCAGGGGAAGAAAUUCCUCGGCAUCUUAUCAAACUCCGAAUGCGUCACCCUCGUAGAGCUAGGGCAGUAAGGGUAUCUGGGGUAAGCUUGGUAUCCGAAAGGGAAACAACCCAGCCUUAGGUUAAGGUCCCCAAAUUUUGGCUAAGUGCUAUAGAACAAAAUCCGUUUAUGACCCAAGACAUCUAGGAGGUUGGCUUAGAAGUAGCCAUCCUUUAAAGAGUGUGUAACAGCUCACUAGCCGAGGUCGUGGGCGAUUAAAAUGGACGGGGCUAAAGUCAAAUACCGAUACCUAAGCAUGCGAAAGCAAUUGGGUAGGGAGGCGUCGUGCGUGGAGAGAAGCUGGGGCGUGAGCUCCAGUGGACCGCGUUCGAACGAGAAUCCUGGCAUAAGUAGCAGCCAAAGUCAGGUGAGAAUCCUGACCACCGAAAGGGCUAGGGUUCCUCGGCAAUGUUCGUCAGCCGAGGGUUAGUCGGUCCUAAGGCGUGCCUUAACCGAACACGUCGAAAGGGAAGCAGGUUAAUAUUCCUGCACUUCAGACACAUUUGUCCAACGGAGGACAUAUCCGGGUAGACCUUGCAGAAUCAUCGUUCUGUCCAAGCGUAUUAAGUCUGGGGAGAACCGUAAAGGUGAGAACCAGACCAAGGCGUGAUGGGUCCGUCGUUUGAGAUGGAUUUGGUUGAUCCCAGGUAUCCAUGAAAACUCUGUUGGGAUGUAGUGUUUGGAUCCGUACCGAGAACUGACACAGGUGCCCCUAGCCGAGAAGGCUAAGGUGUAGCAGGCUUAAUCCUCGCAAGGGAACUCGGCAAAUUAGCUCUGUACCUUUGGUAGAUAGAGUGCCAGCCUUGAGAAAGGCUGGUCGCAGUAACAAGGUGGCUCUGACUGUUUAAUAAAAACAUAGGUGGCAGCAAGUCCGAAAGGAUUAGUAUUGCCGCUGAGUCCUGCCCAGUGGCGGUAUCUGAAUCACCGGUUCAACGGUGUGAAGGACCGCUAAACGGCGGGGGUAACUAUGACCCUCUUAAGGUAGCGUAAUACCUCGCCGCUUAAUUGGCGGCUUGCAUGAAUGGAUUAACAAGAGCCAUGCUGUCCCUGCGAGGAACCUGGUGAAAUUGACUUACUGGUGCAUAGUCCAGUACUCUCUAGAAGGGAGCAAAGACCCCGUGGAGCUUUACUGCAGCCUGCUGUUGUGAUGCGAUUCUAGUUGUGUAGCGUAGGUGGGAGGCUGAGAAGCUUGGGCGCCAGCUCAAGUGGAGCCGUCGAUGAAACACCACCCUCCUGAAAUUGUGUCACUAACUUCGAAAGAAGGACACCUGUAGGUGGGCAGUUUGGGUGGGGUGCCACGCCCUCGAAAAGAUAUCAAGGGCGCCCAAAGGUCACCUCAGGAAGGUCAGAAAUCUUCCGCAGAGUGCAAGGGCAAAAGGUGGCUUUACUUGGAUUGGGACAAUAACAAUUCAAGUUGUGAAAGCAAGGCCUAGCGAACCACUAAACCUUCUUGAUGAGGGUUAGUGAUAACAGAAAAGUUACCCCGGGGAUAACUGAGUCGUCUCCAGUGAGAGUCCCUAUCGACCUGGAGGAUUGCUACUUCGAUGUCGGCUCCCCCCAACCUGGUGGUGCAUAAGCUGCCAAGGGUAGGGUUGUUCACCCGUUAAAGGGGGUCGUGAGCUGGGUUUAGACCGUCGUGAGACAGGUUGGAUGCUAUCUUCUAGAGAUGUUUGAUGCCUGAGGGUAAAAACCCUUUAGUACGAGAGGAACAAGGGUUUGCAGCCACUAGUCUACCAGUUGUCUGAUAAGGCAAUGCUGGGCAGCCACGCUGUAAAAGAUAAGUGCUGAAAGCAUCUAAGCACGAAGCUUGACCUAAAACGAGGCAUCGUAGGACUCCUGUAAAAGACAGGUUUGAUAGGACUGGGGUGUAAG
rnacentral:rRNA from 1 species